rnacentral:rRNA from 1 species
AUUGAACGCUGGCGGCAGGCCUAACACAUGCAAGUCGAGCGGAUGAAGGGAGCUUGCUCCUGGAUUCAGCGGCGGACGGGUGAGUAAUGCCUAGGAAUCUGCCUGGUAGUGGGGGAUAACGUCCGGAAACGGGCGCUAAUACCGCAUACGUCCUGAGGGAGAAAGUGGGGAUCUUCGGACCUCACGCCAUCAGAUGAGCCUAGGUCGGAUUAGCUAGUUGGUGGGGUAAAGGCCUACCAAGGCGACGAUCCGUAACUGGUCUGAGAGGAUGAUCAGUCACACUGGAACUGAGACACGGUCCAGACUCCUACGGGAGGCAGCAGUGGGGAAUAUUGGACAAUGGGCGAAAGCCUGAUCCAGCCAUGCCGCGUGUGUGAAGAAGGUCUUCGGAUUGUAAAGCACUUUAAGUUGGGAGGAAGGGCAGUAAGUUAAUACCUUGCUGUUUUGACGUUACCAACAGAAUAAGCACCGGCUAACUUCGUG